UCAUCUGCGGCUGCACAGGUGAUGUAGAUCAUGUGUGUGAUUGUGUGUGUUUUGUCUUGCACAUGUCGGUUACCAUCAUUUGCUUUGUGGAGGGUCACUCCUCUAGAAAGUAAAUGAUGGUAACCGAAACGGGUGGAGAAGGGACGCAGGUCCAGAAUUUUUAUACAGUUCAUUUUAAAUUUUUUGGCAGGCUGUAAAGUAUAACCCCUGCUGGACACGGCUCCGGAAGCUCCAGGGGGAGACCGAACUGGUAUCCCCCCUUCUUCAGGCGCGCCUCACACUCACUCACCAUUCACACAUAUCGCAGAGUUCUGGCUGGGACCGAUACCAGCAACCCCGGAAGCCGUGGGGCAGCGCUCUUACCACAGAGCCACAGAUCUCCAUGUCUGAACACCUGCUGGAACUGAUGUUUGAGCUGUGUCUUGAUCUGAGCUGUGAUUGGACAAUAAACUAGUUAAAGUUUGCCUGCUCUGGAGUUUGAACCCACAUCUCUCCAGCCUCCUCCUUCAUGCACAGCACAGAUGGAAAGUAAAGGAGUGUGAAAAGAAGAUGCGACUCAAACACAGACAUUCAGCCUGAGCUAGAAGAGACGUCUAGAAGAACCAGACGAGGAGCUGAAGCUUUGCUCGCAUCAUAAACCUCCAAAUUUAAUGAGCAGCAGCUGAAACAGAGACGUUUGAAGGCCAAAACCUUCAGCAGUGGGUGAGUUUCAGCAUUCAUUUACUCUUAUUGUGUUAAUAUGAUCAUGUUUGAGUGCUGUAAUGAAGAGCACAUCAGUAUAUUCAGAAUUAGAGCUGCACUGAAUUAAUGAUGUUGCUGAUCGAGCUGUUUAGGCAGCAGAGAAGUGAAGGUUAGUGUGUGGAUGAUUAAUGAUGUUAUUAUCUUAAAAACUGUUAGAUUCUGAUUGUAAUCAUUUAUAUUUGGACAUUUCUGUGUUUAUUUCUAUAUACUGAUGUUUAAAUCUUAUUUUAUUGUGUUUUCCUCCUUAUUUUUUUUUCUAUUUGACAUCUAAAAAUGUGCUUGUGUUAACCAGAAGCUCCUGCAUUAGUGUGGCUGAUGAUGGUCCAGUGGUCAGAGCACAUGGCAUGAGCUCUGAACCCUCACAGAGGACCUGAGAUCAAAUCCCUCCUCAGAGCACGAGGGAUCUUUAACAUAUUUAUAAUGAAAUCGCAGCUCAUCUACAGGUGAAGAGUCAAACAUGAACUCCUGCAGGUGUUCAGACAAGAGAUCUGUGGUUCAGUGGUAAGAGCUCAUCAUAUCAGAUCUCAUCCAUCACAGUUGAUCUGGGUUCAAACCCCACUUCAGAAGAUUGAGUCAACACAAGUUUAUUUUUAUUCAAUUCUUUAUUGUGAAGUCACAGGUCAGCAGUCCAACAUCAGUUCCAGCAGGUGUUCAGUCAGGAGAUCUGUGGCUCUGUGGUAAGAGCGCUGCCCCACGGCUUCAGGGGUUGCUGGUAUCGGUCCCAGCCAGAACUCUGCGAUAUGUGUGAAUGGCGGCAUCAGCGAGCUGCUCUUUUAGCCUGAACACCUUUGACAACAGCGACACAGAUCAACACAGGUACACCGUUUUACUGGCGUCAAGUUGAGCUCCAGCAGAUGACAGCUCAGUAACAUAUUGUCAGUCAACAGCAGAUAUUACAGCCCGACAGUGAAGAAAAGCGACACAAAGUGCAGUAAUGGAGAGUAACGCGACUCACCUCAGUGAAGAUACACACGUGUGUCUGUUGUGUUUCUGCUGCACAUCUUUCCUCUUUCUGACGCUCCUCCACACACUCCUCCACAUCCAGGCGGAUUCACAGCUCCAGUAAAG